GAUGCAGCAAAAGUAAUCCAAAAACCCAAAUUUUUCCUUUUUUGGCAAACCCAAAUCCGAGUUAGCAAAUGGUAAUAGACCUGCCUCUUUCGGAGACGGAGGAUGUCCUGUCCCGUGCGACCUCAAUAGCGAAAGAACGCAGCCCACCGUCUUAGACCCAUUACUGCGCAGUAAGCACUGCACGAGCGUAGCUCCUCUGAUUCUGCCUCACCAAAUCCCCCUUUCUCUCAAUCUCAAAGUUCUCGGCUUUUCCUCAAGAAGCGUUUCCUCCGUACGUGCUUUCAUCUCUUUUUCUGCGUGCUUUUUGAUCCAUGGAGGCUUUUUCGAGCAAGGUCUUCGUGUCCCGAGUCCCCGAGACAUGCCCAGUUGUGAGCAGCCCCGUUUGUUCGGUCAAGUCGCCCAACCAGCGAAUUGGGUGUCUCCGGAUGAUCGAAGAUUGUCACUUUGGCGGGCUCAGAGCUUCCGCCUUGGCGUCCCAGGGGUUCGGCGAGGGCGAGGAGGAUGGGCCGUUGGAUAACGGAAUCGAUUUUAUAUCCGAGGAUGCUGUCUCUUCUUCCCAGGGCGACGUGAGGCUGAACCAACACAGUGAAAUGAAUGUGGCUAAAACAUUGGAGAAUGAGAUGCCUCUUUCGGUCCCAUACGGAAGCGGCACGAGAGCUGGGCUUUUCAGGACACCAAUAUCUGGUGGGGUCCAAAGUGCAACCUCGGCUCAUGGUUUACCUCGGCCAGCGUUGGCAGUUCGCAAUCUGAUGGAGCAGGCCAGAUUUGCUCAUUUGUGCACUGUAAUGUCUCGGAUGCAUCAUCGACGGGAAGGAUACCCAUUUGGUUCACUGGUGGAUUUUGCACCUGAUUCCAUGGGCCACCCUAUAUUUUCAUUUUCACCCUUGGCAAUCCACACAAGGAACUUAUUGGCUGACCCAAGAUGCACCCUAGUUGUGCAAAUACCUGGAUGGAGUAGCUUGUCAAAUGCGAGGGUGACCAUUUUUGGUGAUGUUUAUCCCCUUCCGGAAGUCCAGCAGGAAUGGGCGCAUAAGCAAUACGUUGCUAAACAUCAGCAAGGGCCUUCCCAGCAGUGGGGGAAUUUCUACUAUUUCAGAAUGCAGAAUAUCAGUGAUAUAUACUUUAUUGGAGGCUUUGGCACUGUUGCUUGGGUUGAUGUCAAGGAGUACGAGUCCUUACAACCUGAUAAAAUUGCAGUUGAUGGAGGCGAGCAAAAUUUAAAGGAACUCAAUGCAAUAUUUUCUAAGCCCUUAAAGAAGCUUCUGUCGACUGAAAGUGAGGUGGACGAUGCUGCUCUUAUAUCAAUAGACAGCAAGGGAACUGAUAUCCGCGUCCGGCAAGGUGCACAGUUCAAUAUACAGAGGAUAUCGUUUGACGAAGGGCAUGCUGUCGAAACCUUGGAGGAAGCUAAGACUGCCCUUUGGAAGCUAAUCGAUAAGGGUAAAGUGCCAUACUUGCAGAAAUAGACGACAGGGUUGAUGUCAACACAAUUUUUGAUUUUUCAGGUCCUUGUUCACCAAAGUGGUGAUUAGAAGCGAGUGAUGGACGACAGAGCUACAGAGCCAAUCAUCAUUGCAUCAUUCUUUGAGUUUUGCUGUACUUGAAUAUGUUUGUAUAAAUUAGGACAUGAGAAUAAAGUAAUUAGGUACUCUCGCUGCUUCGAAUACAUAGUUUGUUCUGAGGUUCUUGGCAAUCGGUUGAUUCUUGGUAAAUUAACAUCGGAUCAAAGGAUUGACCUAUGCCCUGCUCUUA